rnacentral:misc_RNA from 1 species
UCUACUGAAGUUUUGCAAGUGGAGCAAGAAUCUUUUGCCUGUGAUGUUGAUUUCCCCCCAGGGUUUGAGGAGAAGAACUUGACAGCGGAUUUGCCUUUAGUUUUGCCAUCAAAAGAUUGCACCGUGGAGCUCUCUACUGAAGUUCUGCAAGUGGAGCAAGAAUCGUUUGGCUGUUAUCUUGAUUUCCCUCCAGGGUUUGAGGAGAAGA